rnacentral:sRNA from 1 species
UUGCCUUGGAUUCCUAGGACAUCUGACUUUAGUACUAAAACAGGAAUAUUCCUAGGCAAACCAGGAUAGUUAGACAUCCUCCAACAUCUCAUUGUCUCCUUUCAUUAUAGUGGCUUGUUAGAAUAAAAAGCCCUGUGAAAUCGCCAGUAGCCACUACUUCAGCAUGUACAAGGUCCUUUCUCCAUAAUAAGACUUAAUGCUCCUGUUAGGCAGAGACCCUUUUGAUUCCCACUUCAUACAGAAUAUAGUGCUGUACUCAUGUUAAUGCCUAUUAGUGAAUAAGGCGAUGUAGUUUUAAGUUGGCACUGUACCUAAAAUCUUUUCCUUGUGUGUUAAUUUCUUUGUCUUUAUUUUUUUCCAGCCCAGAUGACUUACUCAAUGCCUUGAAUGAGGGUAUCAGUCGUGCUGAUGUCAUCAUCACAUCAGGGGGUGUAUCCAUGGGGGAAAAGGACUAUCUCAAGCAGGUGCUGGACAUUGAUCUUCAUGCUCAGAUCCAUUUUGGCAGGGUUUUUAUGAAACCAGGCUUGCCAACAACAUUUGCAACUUUGGAUAUUGAUGGUGUAAGAAAAAUAAUCUUUGCACUACCUGGUAA